GCCCGAGGUCCAGGUGGGAGACGCCGCGCCCGGCACCGAGAGUGGCAGCAGCGACAACCAGGCGGCCUGAAGUGCAGACGCAAAGCGGAUCCCGGGGCUAGGACACGGGGGUUCCGGAAGCAGGAUGACGCGCCGGGAGGGGACGAGACAGUCCAGAGCACGCCCGGGAGAGAGGGCGGCCCAGACGGCGCCCAGGGGCCCCCACCCCGCGCCGGCCCGCGCUGCAGCCCUCCCUCCCUCCCUCACACACGCGGAAUCUCAAAACAUGCGGACACGCCAGCCCCUCCCGCCCGCCUCGGGCUGCACCACCUGCUCCGGGCGCCUCCCCGUCCCCCGGCCCGCCCGCGCCGGUUCUCACGCGCAGCCAGCGCCCUUCCCCGCCGCUCCCGCCCCUUUCACUUCCGCACAGCUUAGAAGUCGGGGUGAGUGCCUCCGCGCCCACCUUCCCA